AAGCCGUCUUAACCAGAGACGUCUGUCAUAGCUCAUUACAGUCAUUAGUGCACGGGAGUUGAAGUUCAAGGAAAGCAUUGCGAAACAUAACGCUUUGUUUUUCAAAGGUGAGGUCGCAAGCUCUUGCGCCGCAGUGUGGGCGCGCCGCUUACUCGAGCUCAGUUAGAGUCCGGCACCGCCGUCGCUCGCACGAACCUCUCCGCCGCACAAGCGCAACGAACGACUUCAAAAUGGCCACAGGUCCGAAGAUAGUGCACAAGCAAUUCAACUCGCCCAUCGGCUUGUACUCACAACAAAAUAUCAAGGAGACACUUAACAAGCACCUGCAGAACCUCGAGAACGGCACUGUUGGAAUUGACUUUAACAACCCUGUAACCGAUAAGCCGGCAAAUCUUGCUAAUUCAGCCGUUCUGCGUAUGCUUGAGGAAGAAGAACGAAACCGAAAAGGCUUACCAAAGUUAGACCCCACCCAAAUCCAGGCGAUUUUGGAAAAUCUCGUUUUCACCAAGCGAAGAUUUGACCAGAUUUGGCCGCCUAGAAAGACGAAAUCUGACCGUUGUUGGAACGGCCAAGUCAACUCCACGUCAUAUAUUUAUUCAGAACUAAUGAAGGCUACUAAAGGCCAAAAGAAAGUAGUGUGGCCCCCUACGCCGGAAACAAACGGUUAUCACCAGCAGCAGCAGAGUCCUGCAAACUACAACAACGCACAGCAUUCUCCGUCCCAGCAACAAUAUUCCCCACAGCAACAGUAUUCUCCACAACCUCAACAACAACCUCAGUACCACUCUCAAUAUCAACCUCCCCAAAUCCAACCCCAAAACCAGUUUCCUCAAUCAUACCAAGCGGCUCAGUCGCAACCUGCUCAUUGCGAAGGACGGCGUCAAGAAGCCACAGGGCUAAGUAAGCUGAUCCCAGUGGGGCCAGGUCUCACCGCCUCCCCAGUCGCCCCGUCUUAUCGCCAGGGUCCACUAUCGCCUAGCGCGCAACCUUACCGGCAACAACAGAGCCGCUGGGCACCCGUUCCGGCCCCUACUUCCCCCCAGCCUCAAUACAAUCAACCACAGUAUUCGCCGCAAGCGCAAUACUCACCACAGCCGCAGUACUCUGAGCCCGUGUACCAAUCACAACAGAAACCCUUUGAACCACCACCGACAACCAUAACAUUGCGCCCGCAACAACCCGUACACCAACAACCUUCGCCGGUAUUUGCUAGCCAGCCCGCUACAGCUUCAUUUAAAGGAGGCAUAAACAUGCGUGGGGACCAGAAGUGGCCGCCACAAUCUGUAAAAGAGGCUGUGGCUGCAGAAAAUGAAGCAAGGAGGCAACUCGCGAAAGGACCUGCUUGCAGACCGCGCAAGCUGCGGCAGUUAUCACUAGCCGAAUUACUUGCCAUGAACGAGGUCUAAGCGUCCAUCGCGUUCCGACUCGCUUGCUAGUCGGUAUACCUAUGCCGGACUUUAAUAUGCCAUUAGUAAAAAAGGACUACUCGUCCUUCUUCUCGCAACAUGCCUUAAACCACAGUUACACCAGUUACCGCGUCCCACCAGGCACACAGCACUUUGACUACCAGUCGGGGCAAUCCUCAUAUUAAAUUAUUAAAGCAGCCUAGGGAUAUGUUCAUUUGCUGUCAUGGAAAAGCUCACUAACACCGUCCCUAUGGUAUGGUGCUAAUGCUAGUUGUUUCUAAUCAUGAAUUUUCGAAUUUCAUUUGUCUAUAAUUAACUUUAUUAAAAAAACACUAUUAUAUUCAAUAAAAAUUCGAAUAUUAUCAUCAUUGUCAUUUUCAUGUUUAAAAAUGUCUGUCCUAACACGGACAUCAAGUUUAAGUACUUGUAAAGGCUUUUGUGUAUUAAAGUCUUCGUGCAUGUGCUUGAUUGGAUGAAAUCACAAUCAGUACAUAAUACAGUUAUUAUUUAUUUUAUAUACAUAUUAAUCAUUACGUAGCUUGUAAGGUAAUUGUAAAAAAAUACCAUAUCGCGCUUAAAUUUUGUCAUUUUCCCAUUUUAACUUAAAAUGAAUAUUGCAACGAACUAUAUGAAUGUGCGGCUUUAAAAUGCGAACAUUAGCGAAUUUAAGCUUUUUAACCAAUCUCCUUAAAUUUCCUGUAACAAUGAUUUUAAUAAAAUAUUCUCGGAAGUAUUUAUACAUUAAGACAGCCAAUGUUGACUCCAGUAUAAAUUUGUGUUUGGCUAAGCUUUAUGUGUAUGUACCUAGUCAACAAGAAAUCGCCUGAAUUAAUUUGUAAAUAAAAUGUUCAAUUUAAUGUAUUGUUUAUUCAAUCAUUUAUAUUUUAUUUAAUAAAUAUUAUUAAAGCCAA